GAUGAACGCUGGCGGCGUGCCUAAUACAUGCAAGUCGAGCGAACGGACGAGAAGCUUGCUUCUCUGAUGUUAGCGGCGGACGGGUGAGUAACACGUGGAUAACCUACCUAUAAGACUGGGAUAACUUCGGGAAACCGGAGCUAAUACCGGAUGAUAUUUUGAACCGCAUGGUUCAAAAGUGAAAGACGGUCUUGCUGUCACUUAUAGAUGGAUCCGCGCUGCAUUAGCUAGUUGGUAAGGUAACGGCUUACCAAGGCAACGAUGCAUAGCCGACCUGAGAGGGUGAUUGGCCACACUGGAACUGAGACACGGUCCAGACUCCUCGGGAGGCAGCAGUAGGGAAUCUUCCGCAAUGGGCGAAAGCCUGACGGAGCAACGCCGCGUGAGCGAUGAAGGUCUUCGGAUCGUAAAACUCUGUUAUUAGGGAAGAACAUAUGUGUAAGUAACUGUGCACACCUUGACGGUACCUAAUCAGAAAGCCACGGCUAACUACGUG
rnacentral:rRNA from 1 species